rnacentral:rRNA from 1 species
GACGAACGCUGGCGGCGUGCCUAAUACAUGCAAGUAGAACGCUGAAGAGAGGAGCUUGCUCUUCUUGGAUGAGUUGCGAACGGGUGAGUAACGCGUAGGUAACCUGCCUUGUAGCGGGGGAUAACUAUUGGAAACGAUAGCUAAUACCGCAUAACAAUGGAUGACACAUGUCAUUUAUUUGAAAGGGGCAAUUGCUCCACUACAAGAUGGACCUGCGUUGUAUUAGCUAGUAGGUGAGGUAAUGGCUCACCUAGGCGACGAUACAUAGCCGACCUGAGAGGGUGAUCGGCCACACUGGGACUGAGAAACGGCCCAGACUCCUACGGGAGGCAGCAGUAGGGAAUCUUCGGCAAUGGGGGCAACCCUGACCGAGCAACGCCGCGUGAGUGAAGAAGGUUUUCGGAUCGGAAAGCUCUGUUGUAAGUCAAGAACGGGUGUGAGGGUGGAAAGUUCACACUGUGACGGUAGCUUACCAGAAAGGGACGGCUAACUACGUG